GCACAGAGUUAGCCGGUGCUUAUUCUGCGAGUAAACGUCCAAGCAUCUAGAGUAUUAAUCUAGAGCUCCUCCUCCUCGCUUAAAGUGCUUUACAACCCUUAGGCCUUCUUCACACACGCGGCAUUGCUGGAUCAGGGUUGCCCCCAUUGUCCAAUAUUCCCCA
rnacentral:rRNA from 1 species